GGGAUCUUGCCAAUGGGCGAANCCUGNGCAGCGACGCCGCGUGGGGGAUGAAGCUUUUCGGAGUGUAAACCCCUUUCGACCGGGACGAAUGCCCGCAAGGGAGUGACGGUACCGGUGUAAGAAGCCCCGGCUAACUACGUGCCAGCAGCCGCGGUAAGACGUAGGGGGCCAGCGUUGUUCGGAAUUACUNGGGUGUAAAGGGUUCGUAGGCGGUGUGGCAAGUCGGGAGUGAAAUCUCUGGGCUCAACUCAGAGGCUGCUUCCGAAACUGCUGUGCUUGAGUGUGGGAGAGGCGCGUGGAAUUGCAGGUGUAGCGGUGAAAUGCGUAGAUAUCUGCAGGAACACCCGUGGCGAAAGCGGCGCGCUGGACCACAACUGACGCUGAGGAACGAAAGCUAGGGGAGCAAACAGGAUUAGAUACCCUGGUAGUCCUAGCCCUAAACGAUCAGGACUUGGGGUGCCGCCCGUUCGGGCGUCGUCCCGGAGCUAACGCGUUAAGUCCUGCACCUGGGGAGUACGGUCGCAAGACUGAAACUCAAAGAAAUUGACGGA
rnacentral:rRNA from 1 species